GCAGAGCAGACGAUCGCGGCCCUGUCUUUGACAGGGGUGAGGAAAGUCCGGGCUUCACAGGGCAGGAUACCGGUUAACGGCCGGCGGAGGCGACUCCCGGGACAGUGCAACAGAGACAUACCGCCUUUCUCUUUGAAGAGAGGUAAGGGUGAAAAGGCAGUGUAAGAGACUACCGUCCGUGCAGUAAUGUGCGGAGCCAUGCAAACCCUAUCCGAAGCAAGACCGAAACGGAAACCAUGGAUUGGCCCGAUCCGUUUCCAGGUGCGUCGCUUGAGGCUGCCGGCAACGACAGUCCUAGAAAGAUGAUCGUCCAACGACAGAACCCGGCUUAUCGCUCUGCUUA
rnacentral:RNase_P_RNA from 1 species